AGGAGAGAUGCCCAGGGGGAGAAGUGGCCAAGCACCGACACCUCUGCAUCCAACCUCACAAAAGACUCAAGGGCACAGAGGAAAGACUACGGGAGGACACAGCAAGAAAGUGGCUUUCUGCAAGCCAGGAAGAGAGGCCUCCCCAGAAACCAACCCUGCUAGCAUAUCCAACCUCACAAAAGACUCAAGGAGAACUUCUGGCCUCCAGAACUUUGAGAAAAUGUCUACUGGAUCUUAGUGCAACAUUGCUCUGCAAACUUGAACCAGGGCAGAGUGAGAUAGCAGAGGAGCUGUGCCAGCGUCUACAGCGAAAGGAAAGGAUGCUGCAGGACCUUCUAAGUGAUCGAAACAAACAAGUGGUGGAACAUGAAAUGGAGAUUCAAGGCCUGCUUCGGUCUAUGAGCACCAGGGAGCAGGAAAGCCAAGGUUCAAUGCAGAUACCUUCCAGAGAUGAUAGCACUUCAUCGACUGCCAAAGAGGAUGCCAGCAUACCCAGAUCCACAUUAGUUUCCCAAAGAUCUGUCCCUGGGCCUUGAACUGGGCUUCCGGUGGCCGGGUGAUGAUGACCAUCCUUUCGUUGACGUCUGGGCCUUCCUCAGGGGCGAUCUUGAUGGAGGCUGCGGCGAAUCUCACCAGCUGUUUGAUGUGUGCCCCCUUCUUCCUGAUAAUGGUGCCCACAGCCUGGGUUGGGAUGAAGAGAUUCACAAUCUCCUGCUCUGGAUGAGUGAUGAUGCGGGAACAGGCCAAACCGGUG
rnacentral:lncRNA from 1 species